AUUAUUUCAAAAAGCAGCCAUUACAAGUCGAUCUCCGGGGACUGAAUUCUGAAACCACCGCCCGCCUCUGCUCCUGGACCGCUCCGCCCCCGUCCUCCCGCCGCCGGCGCCGAUGGAGCGCCUCCGGGUCGCCGUCUCGCACCGCCCGCCUCUGCUCGUCGGCGCCCCGAACCAUCUCCGCCGACGCCAGCUCCACCUCCCCCUCCCGCUCGCAUCCCGCCCCCUCUCUUCGCGGCAUCGCCUGCUCUCCCCCGCCCCUCGCCGCCACGCGCGGCACCUCCUCGCCUCCCAAACGCCCGGCCCCGAAUCCGGCCCUGACCCCGACGCGGAGGCCAGCGCUGAACCGGCCGGCGCCAAGCUCGUCCCGCUCGUCGUCUCCCUGGCGGCCGGCCUCGCCGUGCGCUUCCUCGCGCCGCGGCCCGCCGAGGUGACCCUGCAGGCGUGGCAGCUGCUCUCCAUCUUCCUCUCCACCAUCGCGGGGCUCGUGCUGGGCCCGCUCCCCGUGGGCGCCUGGGCCUUCCUCGGCCUCACCACCGCCGUGGCCACGCGGACGCUCCCCUUCGAGACCGCCUUCUCCGCCUUCACCAACGAGGUCAUCUGGCUCAUCGUCAUCUCCUUCUUCUUCGCGCGAGGCUUCGUCAAGACCGGCCUCGGCGACCGCAUCGCCACCUACUUCAUCAAGUGGCUCGGGGGCAGCACGCUCGGGCUCUCCUACGGGCUCACCGUCAGCGAGGCGUGCAUCGCGCCGGCCAUGCCCAGCACCACCGCCAGGGCCGGGGGCGUCUUCCUGCCUAUCAUCAAGUCGCUCUCGCUCUCCGCGGGCAGCAAGCCUAACGACCCGUCGUCGCGGAAGCUCGGGUCAUAUCUUGUGAUGACCCAGUUCCAGGCAGGUAGUAACUCAAGUGCUCUCUUCCUGACUGCUGCAGCACAAAAUCUGUUAUGCUUGAAGCUAGCAGAGGAGCUUGGUAUCAUAGUUGCGAAUCCAUGGGUGUCAUGGUUCCAGGCUGCUAGUUUGCCAGCUAUUGUGUCUCUGCUAGCAACACCAUACUUGCUAUAUAAAAUCUUCCCCCCUGAAAUAAAGGACACACCUGAGGCCCCAGCUUUAGCUGCAGAGAAGCUGAAGCGCAUGGGCCCAGUGACCAAGAAUGAGUGGGUUAUGAUUGGUACAAUGAUUCUUGCAGUGUCAUUAUGGGUUUUUGGGGACGCUAUUGGUGUAUCUAGUGUUGUUGCUGCAAUGCUUGGGCUCUCUAUUCUUCUCCUGCUUGGUGUGCUAGACUGGGAUGAUUGCUUGAGUGAGAAGUCAGCAUGGGAUACACUCUCCUGGUUUGCAGUUCUAGUUGCGAUGGCCGGACAGCUAACAGACCUUGGAAUUGUGUCGUGGAUGUCAACUUCUGUCGCCAAGCUGCUUGAAUCUUUCUCAUUGAGUUGGCCUGCAGCUUUUGUUGUUCUUGAGGCCUCCUACUUCUUGGUUCACUAUCUAUUUGCGAGUCAAACGGGGCAUGUUGGAGCUCUAUACUCUGCGUUUCUGGCUAUGCAUGUAGCAGCUGGUGUUCCUGGUGUGCUGUCCGCACUUGCUUUGGCAUUCAACACAAAUCUGUUUGGCGCACUAACACACUAUAGCAGUGGGCAAGCUGCGGUAUAUUUCGGAGCGGGGUACCUGGAGCUUCCAGACAUAUUCAGGCUGGGCUUUGUAACAGCCCUGAUUAAUGCUUUGAUAUGGGGAGUUGUUGGCACCUUUUGGUGGAAAUUUCUGGGGCUCUAUUGACAGUAGCUGCACUGUAAGUCGACCAAAUCUUUCCUUUUGGAACUCACUGAACUGUCCAUGGUUCCGGAAUGAUCUUCCUUUGGUGGUCUGUUGAUGAUAGGGAAAUAUAACAGAUUAUCUGUGUCAAGCCUUCGGUCAUUUCCUCUCCAUCUUGUACAGUUCCCCAUUUUAUCUCUCGGAAAUGUAGACCAGAGCUGAACAGUUUGGUGCCAAAAUAUGUCAAUCUUGUUACAGUAUUCUCUAUUGUUAGAGCACUGUUUUAUUU
rnacentral:rRNA from 1 species